rnacentral:rRNA from 1 species
UACGGAGGGAGCUAGCGUUGUUCGGAAUUACUGGGCGUAAAGGGCGCGUAGGCGGCCUGCUAAGUCGAACGUGAAAUCCCCGGGCUUAACCCGGGAACUGCGUCCGAUACUGGUGGGCUUGAAUCCGGGAGAGGGAUGUGGAAUUCCAGGUGUAGCGGUGAAAUGCGUAGAUAUCUGGAGGAACACCGGUGGCGAAGGCGGCAUCCUGGACCGGUAUUGACGCUGAGGCGCGAAAGCUAGGGGAGCAAACGGG